UUGCUAUGUCAACCUGUUGGGAAAUUAUAGCUGCUCCUCCUGCCAGAUCAGUCAGCUGAGAUGGAAACAUCAAUCUGAGAAGAUGUGCACUUUCUGUCGCAUGAGAAAAAAACAGAGAGGUGACAUGAUUGUCACAGAGGAUCUCCCCCCCUUUCUACAAUGCUGUGCGCUUUCACCAAUUCACUUUGAUGUCAAAGCUCUCUUCAGUGGAGCCUCCAGCUUCUGAACUAGAUGACUUGUCCUAAGGAGAAAGCCAGGGGAAAAAUGAAGUGAGAAUUAGAUUAAAGCUGCCUUGCACUGCCGAAUGCUGAGUCUACAUGAGCUGCAGGAUCAAGGGCCAGCACUGGAAAAGCUUUACUACAGUUGCUAAAAUGCCACACACUGUUACUUGUAUGGAAUGCCUGGCUUGUGAUGGAAUGUCAGGAUGAAAUGACGUUGAAAUGAAGGAAACUAUUCCAAAAGAGUGGAAUCGUGGAGGACCACAAGGCUUAGAAGAUGGCUCAAUAUUCCAACCUUGCAAUUCUCAGAGAAAGUAAUGAGAAAAACACAGUCCUGUGGAUCACCAAGUCCAGAUUUGUACAAAGAAAAACUAGUUCAGGGCUGAGACUGAGAGCUGAUACAUUUCAAGGAGGACCGGCCGGCUGCACUUGUGAGCGGUGACAGAUCUCUGUGAAAUAUAAUCCUGAUUAAAAAUGCAUGUGUGAAACCUCUUCGAAUAAAGCGUUGUGUCCAACAGCAUUUUGGAGCUCCUGCCUGUGAGACGGGAAGACUAAUGUAGCCACUCUUGUACUGUUCACUCCAUCAUUCGCUGGCUGUUUCACAUUUCUGAAAUGCUAUCUUUCUAUAACUUUGGAUUAGAUAGAAUUUUGCAUUUUUUAUUAUAAAAGGUCAUUGAUAAAAGUGAAUUUUAAAAAUUCAGAAAUUCAUUGCCUACACACAGGCAGUCUUUUUUAUUUUUUUAUUUUUAUUUUUUUAUAAAAGUCUAAGUCAAGCACAUGUGUUAAAUGAUAGUUGUGAUUUAGAUCAACAUCAAUGCCUAUGAUGUUUCGGCCUCUACUACUGCUAAGUCACGUAAAAUACAAAAGAGGCACGUGUGCGUUGACUUCAUAUAGAUUAACAACUCUGUUGUUGUAAGUCUAUUUCGUUCCCAAAGCUGUAAUCAACUAUUGAAAAAUUUAAGAGACUACAUAUAAACCAAUCUUGUUCACUUGGGGUCCAGAUUGAAAGGAAGUCAGGUAUAAAACCUGAGAAGCUUCCAAAACAGAGAUGAGGCAAAUCUCUCCAGUUUAAAAUGAAAACAAGUAAUUCAACUAUGGUGAAAUCUGAGCAAGUCAAGUUGCCUUGUGUUCCAGUUAUUACAAUUGUGUGGUUUUGAUCCUAAGAUCAUGGCCUGGAAUGCCUAAUUAUGGCUGUGUCCUUUGUUAGGAUCUACACGAUGGUCAUAGACCAUGCAAAUAGUCAUUCUUUUAAACCUCAGGGAAAUAAAGAAUUGGGAAAGAAAUUAAGAAGUGACCCAGUGGAGUAACAGAGCGUAAGUUGUGUCUGUAAUUAUACUCUCUCUCUAGCUCAUUGUAUAAUUGGGAGCCACACACAUAUACACAAAUGCACUCAGACAGAUUUAUAAGAAACAAAUAUAUCAGAAAAAUAUUUAUUGAGCUCCUUCUAUAGGUUCCAUAACUGAUAAAGUUAUGAAUGAUACAGUUCAGUUUGCUUGAUGCUCUUAAGUAUUUAUUUUCAGUGGUUAUUUAGAAAUUUUAUUAAUAUCUCCUGACCAACAUCUGUUUUCCCCAUCCCUCAUCCUAAGCAAUCAUAGUUCCAUUCAAUGGAUAUAUUUUUAAAAAUAUUUAUUUAUUUUUUCGUUGUAGUUGGAUACAAUACCUUUAUUUUAUUUAUUUAUACGUGGGGCUAAGGAUGGAACCCAGGGCCUUGCACGUGCUAGGCAAGCACUCUACUGCUAAGCCACAACCCUAGCCCCUCAAUGGAUAUUUUUAAAGAUAGAUUGCUUUGUUUAAUGUCAUUAAAAAAAAACAACCUAAAGUUUUUCUAAAUAACAGCUCCCACUGAGAACAUUUUUAAUGUCAUUUAUUCAAAUAAAAUGUAAAAAUUUCAGGAUUUGCCCUUUGUAGAAUGUGUGCAGACAUAGUGGUCAUGCGAGCCAUUUGCUCUCCCCUUUCAUGUCUCAGUCUAGUACACUUUUCAUAUCUGGUUGUCUGCAGAUCUUCCCAGGAAGAUAUGAAAAUUAACUCACAAGUGCAAUGCAUUUAGCAUAAUCUAACUGAAGUGGUUUUUUUCUUCUUAAUCAUGUAAUCAGGAAAGCAUUCAAGAUUAUAAGGGUUUUGAAUUUACACCACCAAGUAAGCAGGAGAGAGGAAUAUAUUUGACAGUUUUAGGUCUAAAAGCUGAAUGAAUAUAUCACUGCGAAGUAUAAGUUGGUUUCUGUUUUUCACUUAUUCGAGGAACAGGUAUUGGAUAUUAUUGGUGACACAAGGACAAUUUUAACUGGAAUAUUGAAAUGAGUGUAGUUUGAGGAAUAAUUAACACUAUUUACUUGCUCUAAAUUUAAGAUUUAAACAUUUUGCCUUAGGUUUUAUGAUGUUCCCUAAUGCACAUCUGUAUGUUAAUAAUACCUAUUCUUUCUUGUAGCAGGAUUAAUCCUAUAGAAUGACUUUUUAAAAUGCCUAUGGUGAUUUUCCUUAAAUAAAUUCCACUUUUAAGGAA